rnacentral:lncRNA from 1 species
AUAGUUAUAAAUUAUUCUCCUCUCAAUAGGCUCCAGUCUUGAUACACUAACAGUACUUGGUUCUCAUAAAGGUGACGUCAUUCUCCUAGCUAAUGACAGUUCUUUAACCACCUCCUUCUUAUCCCAGCAACAAUCUAAUGGCCCUCUCUUCAAUCCUCAUGGAUAUGAUGAUGCUCUUCCACAAUAUGUUGGGAAGUUGAAGGACGUCCUUUCUAAAUGGCCACUGCUGUUCACUCUCAUUGAGGAUGGGAUUGUGUUGGUCUACAGUGUCUCUAAUGCUAUGAUCAUUGCUGCCAUUCAUCCACUGGAAUACUGUAGAAUGUUUAAGCUAUAACACUCCAGAUGGUCCCUCUCUCUUACAAACUCUGUCUUUGUCAUCAUUUCAUAAAAUCUCGGUCUCUCCUGAUCUAGGAGUGUCUCUUAAUUCAUUGGAUCAAUGUUCCCUCCCACUCAAUGCACUGGAGACUGGAACUGAGACAUAGUGUCAUUCUUCCUUAGGAAUAGAGUUAUAAACAGAACA